AAUAAAAAAUCACUAUACAUGCGUUAUGACAAGGUGAUAGUAAUUCAGUGAAUAGAGCUUGUACAGGACAUAAACACCUCUUUGACCAAUAAUCGAUGUGUAUUGGUUGAAUAACAAAACGACCCUUUUUUAUUGUUACCCUGGCAACCCGCCGUGUUUGAUUGACGUUUGAUUUAAUAAUUCUGAUACAACUCAUAAUUCUAAUCUAAUAGAAACUCCAAAACCUCAGACAAAGAGGACUAGAAUUUUACAUAAAAAGCCGCGUUCUGCAGUACAAAAGUUAGAAGAGGCAUCUCAAAUAGUGGAAAGUGCCAAACUCCGCAUCACGGUAGUGUUCCAGUGUUUGCAGGAAGAGCACGAAACAAAACAAAGGCAUGGCUGAAACACAUGAGCUCAAACAGAAGCAACUUGCCGAAGCUCACGAAAGGGCUAGACAGGAGCAUCUUCUAAGGCUCAAAUUGUUAUAGCAGCAAUUAAAUGAAUAAUUAUAUAUGUAUUUAUAAAAAAAAAUCCCCUGUUUUAAAUGAAAUAUAACUUUUUAAAAUCAAAUCUUCAAUCGUAUGUAUUAGCUGCAUAUCAAUAUUAUCUAAAUCUUCCAUUUGAUCUAUAAAAUCUAUUUUCAACAAACACAAAUACCUACUAACUUAAAUCUUUCCUUGAACUAAACAGUCAAAAAAUGCUGUCAAACGCGAAAUCAGAUAAAAUUACGCAAUUUUUGUCUUAUACACCCGUUAAACUAGGCCUCUGCGUUGUAUAAGCAUUGUACAAGUCUUCAUACAAACCAGACACUUGUUAUAACAGCAGUAUACAUCAACCUUGUCAAUUCAGGAAUUAUUAGUAACAUUUUUCUUAUAACAGGCUUAUACAAUGUGCAUAAAUCUUUAUUAGUAA